GACCUUCGGAAGAGCAGCCAGUGCUCUUAGCCUCUGAGCCGUCUCUCCAGCCCCCCCCCACACCACACUUCUGAAAGACAGUCAUCUCAAACCGCUGGGAAAAUGACCAAGGAUGGGGUAACAGAUUUUGAAGAGAGAAGCUAUAGUGGCGGGGCCGGAGACAUUCAGAAGCGUUGUCAGCCUCCCCUCCUGAGUGCCUGUCACUUCCCUGUAGCAGAGGGAUCUUCAAAGUCAGCUCUGAGGGUGGAAAGAGAAGAGGCUGCUCCAGGGCUAUUUACAGAUUCAGACUGAAUCCUCAGGAGAGCGUCCGUGUAUAGUCACGAGCCAGGAGCGUGUGCUCAGAAAGGGCCUCGUUCUGUUUUGGGAAGUGACGUCCGGGAAAGUAGUCAUCACAGCUCAGAGCACUGUUUCUUUGGGAGACGUCUCUGGAAGUGGAAACACUGAGUCAAAGACCAUGAAUAUAUUAAAGGCUUGUGAUUAAAAAAAGCAAACAGCCAAAGGGAGCUUUCAGCCCAGUGUGCACAAACCUCUGGUGCCCUGUCCCUCAGGGUGGGAGAGCUGGCCGACAGAGGUGAGCCGGGUCACAGUAGGAGGCAUCUAUACCUGGAGUCCACGCCACGUAGACCAUCGGGGAAGGUUGUCUUCUUCUACCAAGCACGGGGCCUUCACUCCUUCCCUGGACACAACCCUGAUGGAGCUGACACAGACUGGGAGGACCACGCAGGGUCCAGCGCCUUGGAGCGUCGGCUAGACGUGCCCGACAUUCCCGAUGUUGCCGUCUGCAGAAUCUUAAGACCCCUCACAAUGUUUUGAGUAGGUUUGUGAUUUCUCGCUGGGUCGUUUCCAUGUCCCCAGUGACAUCCACAGCUGUCCUUGUCUGCACGUGAAGCUGAGGGUUGGGCGCUCCCGUCACCCUAACCCACUAAGUCCCGUUUCCACAUCCUUGUGUCACAUUUUACUGUUCGAAGCUCAUUCCUUUUUUUUUUUUUUAACCUCAAAUGACACAAGGAUGCUGGUAUUGUCAUUUUUAUUUUUCCUGUUGGCUUCCCGUAUCACCGCCUGCGUGCCAGACCUUUACUCAAGCAGAUUUCUAAUGACACGCCCUUCUCCAGCAGCCUGCCAUGAAUCCCUCUCCCCCGAACCUCUACCUCAGGGUCUUCUGCUGGGGACCGGACCCAAGGCGGCAAAAACCUAAAGUUUCCUUCUUUGAGAGAGCCCAACUUCUGAUCUCUCUGCUGCCACCUUCCAGGUGCUGGAUUUACAGGUGUGUGCUACCACGCUCGGUUUGUGUAUGCCAGUGGUUGAGCCUAGGACUUCGGGCACGCCGGGCAAGGACUCUACCGACUGAGAUGUGUUCCCAGCUAAUAUUUUUGACUUACCAAUUUUAAAAACAUAUUUUUUGGAUGAAA